rnacentral:lncRNA from 1 species
AGGCUCCACACGGCUGCAAGAUGCAGCUCCCUCGAGGCCACCACUCUUAGGCUAGGCGGGACCCAGGCUGAGGGGCUUCACACACUACCCACGUCCCACCGGGCCCUUCCGUGAGGCUGCCCCGCGGGCCGCCCUGGCAUCAGCCGCCCCAGGGCUCUGGAUAUGCCACUUGGCCCCGUGGCACCCUGUGCAGCCAGGAGCCAGGGCGGCUGACAGCAGAGCCCCGGGGACUGGGCCUUCCCCGCCCCAGCAUCCAGGCGAGGCUCUCCCGGAGUUGGGAGAGCGUGCCCACAGCAUCACCUGCCUCCAGGAGCACCGAGGAGAAGUCCAGGGGCCAGAGCCGCAAGAAGCCGUCCUCAGAGCCCACAGCACACAUGGCCGGGGAGACGCUGAGGCUGCUGAUGGCAAUGCCGGGGCCUGGGGGCAGGGAGGCGUCAGUGCCUCGGUGUCCCUGCCACCCUGGCCACGUGGUGGGCGCCCUCUUACCUGAGCUGAAGGUCUGCUUCUGUGGGUGGGGACCGCCUGGAGUCCGUGUGGGGAGCAGGCGGCGGGCAUGCCGCACGACCAUGCGCUGACAGUCAAUCUCCAAGAUGUGGCCACUGCGGCUGCACACGAAGCUGCCCGAGGAGGCGGCAGGGAAGUCCACGGGGCAGGAACGCAGCACCCCGCCACGCAGCCGCCAGAGC